CAGAUCUUACUCCAGACCAUAUCGUAAACUCCUGAUAAUACAUAAGGUAAACGUUUGCCUUCCAUCACCCUGUACCCAAAGAAGGGAUUGCAAUACGCCGGGAAAAAGACACUGGACGUCAGGAGGGGAGUCAAUGGCCGGUACGCUAAUAAAUUUAGCGUCGAAUUUUGUCUGAUCUUGACCAAAAGGGGAAGUGCUAAAACGUGUAUCACCCUAAAUCCAGCAAGAUUUUUACGUUUAUUUGUGCAAAAAUGCGUUACAUCACUUUCUGUGUGGGAAUUAAUAAGGAGAAAAAUUGAUGAGCACCGACCUGAAGUUUUCUUUAGUGACUACCGUGAUUGUACUCGCCCUGAUUGUUGCCGGCGGGCUGACUGCCGCACUGCAUUGAUCU
rfam:Kluyvera intestini strain GT-16 tig00000000, whole genome shotgun sequence.